GCAAAUUAUGGCUCACAACAAAGAUCAGUAAACUAGCCAUUAUAUAUACAUUGUUUCCUUAAUGUGGACUAUGUAUGACAUACAGAUAACAAUCAAAGCAGGGACAGCAACAAGAGGCAAUGACUCGAAUGUCCUUACUCUGGUUGAGCGAAAAUGAACAAGGUCUUAACACCACGCGUACUUUAGGCUUAUAACAGAUGAAGCUCACGAAGUUCAGAAGUAGUAUAAUCAAAGCACAUACAGAGCUGUACAAGUAUAUUUCUCGUAGAGAAGUUCCCGUAUCAGCUCAAACACAGAGUUGCUGAUAAUCGAUCAUGACAGCUUGUCAAUAUUGAUUGAUUGAGUUAGAAGACUUCCAAACUGAAUAUCAAGCCAUUUGCUUGCAAUACCUUGAGUGGACAGAUAGUGAAGUAUGUCCAUCACAUCGUUCAAACUAUUAAUGAACACCUUAACUCAACCGAUCUCUGUUCUUUUCAAUCCCUG
rnacentral:misc_RNA from 1 species